rnacentral:rRNA from 1 species
GCCUGUUUAUCAAAAACAUCGCUCCUUGUUAUAUAAAAUUGAGGAGUUGGACCUGCCCGGUGAAAAUUUUUAACGGCCGCGGUACUCUGACCGUGCAAAGGUAGCAUAAUCAUUUGCCUUAUAAUUGAAGGCUAGUAUGAAUGGUUUGACGAGAAUAUAACUGUCUCUACCUAAUUUAAUAGAAAUUUAUAUUUGGGUGAAGAAGCCCAGAUAAAAUUAAAAGACAAGAAGACCCUAUCGAGCUUAAAAUAAAUUAGCAGAUUGAUAACAAUAAUUAAUAAAAGUAUUAACUCCUAAACAUUUUAGUUGGGGCGACUGAGGAACAGAUAAAGCUUCCUUAUAUAUAGUAAAGUUUACUAACAUUGAUCCAAAAAAUUUUGAUUAAUGAAAUUAGUUACCGUAGGGAUAACAGCAUUAUCUUUUUUGAGAGCUCUAAUCGAAAAAAAGGUUUGUGACCUCGAUGUUGGACCAGAAUAUCCUAAAGGUGUAGCAGCCUUUAAGGGUUGGUCUGUUCGACCAUUAAAAUUCUACGUGAUCUGAGUUCA